CAUUGGUGCCUCUUCUGCUCGGAUUGGCUACCUCCGGAUCCAAUAAGCCAGGCUUGAAUCCUACUUCCGGUGAGAGCGAAGUCGGCUCCCUGGAGAAGCCGGAAGAGUGCGUUUGCGCGCGCUUGCCGAAGUCGCGGCAGCUCUGAGCGCAGUGGUGCGCGCCGGGAGGCGUGGCCGGGAGAGCAUUCAUAACGGGAAAGGUCAGGAGGGUUGGUGCCCUGGUGGACUGUAAGGGGCGGGGCCUGCAGGGAGUGGAGGAAUUAAAUGAAAUUGGACGGGCCUUCAAUAAACUUUUAGAGGCUAGGGCUUAGUGGGCAAGGCCUUAAAGAGUGCUGACUGUGUGGUCAAGGUCUUUUGGCGAUGAGUGGAGCUGGUACUGAGUGGGCGGGGCCAUUAUGGGGCGGAGCCUGGCGUGGAAUUGUUAGCUGGGUCCUUUUUGCUCUGGAGCAUGAGACAUCGUACUCUAGCCUCUUUCCCGGCCCUGUGGGCCUCCAUCCCCUGUCCACGCUCGGAACUGCGCCUGGACCUGGUUCUGGCUUCCGGACAGUCCUUCCGGUGGAGGGAGCAAAACCCUGCGUACUGGACUGGCGUGCUGGGGAACCAAGUAUGGACACUGACCCAGACUGAGGAGCAGAUCUACUGUACUGUGUACCGAGGGGACAAGGGUUGGGUUGGCAGGCCCACACCAGAAGAGCUAAAGACUGUGCACCAGUACUUCCAGCUGGAUGUCAGCCUGGCUCAACUAUAUCACCACUGGAGUUCCGUGGACCCCCACUUUCAAGAGGUGGCUCACAAAUUCCAAGGUGUUCGACUUCUGCAACAGGACCCCGUCGAGUGCCUUUUCUCCUUCAUCUGUUCCUCCAACAACAACAUUGCUCGCAUAACCGGCAUGGUAGAACGCCUCUGCCAGGCUUUCGGACCUCGGCUCAUCCAGCUGGAUGAUGUCACCUACCAUGGCUUCCCCAACCUGCAGGCCCUGGCUGGAACCCAGAGCUGCAGCCAAGAGCAGCCUCUGUUCCACCCACUGUCAGCCAGAAGUGAAAAGAUGAGCCAGACUGGGCCAUGGCAAGGCCGCUGCAGGGCCUGGACUAUAGCAAACAGGAAGCAGUGAUAAACUGACCAGAGGAAGUACCACCCUGGAUGCAGUCUCCCCAGCCAGCCAGGCCCAAGACUCCAGGUUUCUCCUUCUCCAAAUCAAAACACUCAGGAGGAUGCUGACCUCCAGGAGAACAGCAGAGAAGACCCCAGAGCAGCUUGUACAAGUAAGUGCACAGCCCUGGAGGGUUCCCCCUGUCUCCAGAACCAGGAAUGUCCCAGCCCCACCCUGGGAAUUGCUAGGGUGUCUCCUCUCCUUCCUCUUUCUUCUUCCACCCAGUCUCUCGGAAAUCAGGUUUCCGGCAGCCUGGGCUUCCAGCAAUAUCUCAGCCACGUUUUUAAAUAGCUCCUUCUGCACAGUUACCACGGCAACAGCAGCCACAGCUGGAGCUCCCCAGGCCACCUAUUAUACCCCCUCUCCCUCCUGGCUCCCUGUUUG